rnacentral:rRNA from 1 species
GGCUCAGAUUGAACGCUGGCGGCAUGCCUUACACAUGCAAGUCGAACGGCAGCACGGGUGCUUGCACCUGGUGGCGAGUGGCGAACGGGUGAGUAAUACAUCGGAACAUGUCCUGUAGUGGGGGAUAGCCCGGCGAAAGCCGGAUUAAUACCGCAUACGAUCUACGGAUGAAAGCGGGGGACCUUCGGGCCUCGCGCUAUAGGGUUGGCCGAUGGCUGAUUAGCUAGUUGGUGGGGUAAAGGCCUACCAAGGCGACGAUCAGUAGCUGGUCUGAGAGGACGACCAGCCACACUGGGACUGAGACACGGCCCAGACUCCUACGGGAGGCAGCAGUGGGGAAUUUUGGACAAUGGGCGAAAGCCUGAUCCAGCAAUGCCGCGUGUGUGAAGAAGGCCUUCGGGUUGUAAAGCACUUUUGUCCGGAAAGAAAUCCUUGAUUCUAAUACAGUCGGGGGAUGACGGUACCGGAAGAAUAAGCACCGGCUAACUACGUGCCAGCAGCCGCGGUAAUACGUAGGGUGCAAGCGUUAAUCGGAAUUACUGGGCGUAAAGCGUGCGCAGGCGGUUUGCUAAGACCGAUGUGAAAUCCCCGGGCUCAACCUGGGAACUGCAUUGGUGACUGGCAAGCUAGAGUAUGGCAGAGGGGGGUAGAAUUCCACGUGUAGCAGUG